rnacentral:rRNA from 1 species
UACGAAGGGGGCUAGCGUUGUUCGGAAUUACUGGGCGUAAAGCGGACGUAGGCGGUGUUCCAUGUCAGAGGUGAAAGCCUGGGGCUCAACUCCAGAAUUGCCUUUGAAACGGGAACGCUUGAGUCCGAGAGAGGGUGGCGGAAUUCCUAGUGUAGAGGUGAAAUUCGUAGAUAUUCGCAAGAACACCAGUGGCGAAGGCGGCUCACUGGCCCGAUACUGACGCUGAGGUGCGAAAGCGUGGGGAGCAAACAGG